GAUUUCUAUUUUAUUUUGUGUAAUUUGUAGAUUUCUCAUUAACCUUGUGAAGCAAAAGCCACAAAUAACAGAAGAACAACUUGAGGCUGUCAUUGCAGAUUUCUCUGGUCUACUGGAAAAGUGCUGCCAAGGCCAAGAGCAGGAAGCCUGAUUUGAGGAAGAGGGUCCAAAACUGAUUGCAAAGACUCGUGCUGCUUUAGGGAGUUUAAAUUACUUCAGGGGGAAGAAAAGAAGACAAAAUAAGUCUUUAUGCUUUGGUGUGAAUCUUUUCUUUCAUUGUAACCGAGAUAAUGCUUUCUGUGAAUUAAUGAAAUGAUGAAGACUUUAAUGUGGGAUUUCUCUAUCCUAUAAAUAAAGU
rnacentral:lncRNA from 1 species